UGAGGAAUAUUGGUCAAUGGGGGCAACCCUGAACCAGCCAAGUCGCGUGAAGGAUGAAGGUCUUAUGGAUUGUAAACUUCUUUUACACGGGAAUAAAGUGGGGGACGUGUCCCCCUUUGCAUGUACCGUGUGAAUAAGGAUCGGCUAACUCCGUGCCAGCAGCCGCGGUAAUACGGAGGAUCCGAGCGUUAUCCGGAUUUAUUGGGUUUAAAGGGUGCGCAGGCGGGAUGUUAAGUCGGCGGUGAAAUUUUGCAGCUCAACUGUAAAAGUGCCUUCGAUACUGGCCUCCUGGAGUGUGGAUGAAGUAGGCGGAAUUUGUGGUGUAGCGGUGAAAUGCUUAGAUAUCACGAGGAACACCGGCGGUGUAGACGGCUUGCUAGACCAUAACUGACGCUGAGGCACGAAAGCGUGGGUAGCAAACA
rnacentral:rRNA from 1 species